UACGAAGGGGGGCUAGCGUUGCUCGGAAUCACUGGGCGUAAAGGGUGCGUAGGCGGGUCUUUAAGUCAGAGGUGAAAGCCUGGAGCUCAACUCCAGAACUGCCUUUUGAUACUGAGGAUCUUGAGUUCGGGAGAGGUGAGUGGAACUGCGAGUGUAGAGGUGAAAUUCGUAGAUAUUCGCAAGAACACCAGUGGCGAAGGCGGCUCACUGGCCCGAUACUGGACGCUGAGGCACGAAAGCGUGGGGAGCAAACAGGAU
rnacentral:rRNA from 1 species